AAGACUAUACUUUUAGGGAUCAUUUCUAUAGUAUGUGACUAGAGAAGUUUCUCUGAUCGUGUAGAACACCCGAAGCCACGAGGAGGAGCCAGCUUACUCUCCUGAGCGUGAAGCCAGCUCUAGGUGUCGCUUCUGUGGCUGCCUCUUGCCUUUGAUGAUCGUUCUCCUUUUUCUCUGAGAAGAUAAAGGGAGAGGAUGCAGUCUGAGUGGU